rnacentral:snRNA from 1 species
AUGCUUGCUUCGGCAGCACAUAUACUAAAACUGGGACGAUACAGAGAAGAUUAGCAUAGCCCCUGCGCAAGGAUGACACGCAAAUUCAUGAAGCGUUCCAUAUUUUA